AACCAUAGAAACCUGCGGAGUACCUGCGGAAGGAUCAUUAAUGAGUUAUUAAAACUCCAAACCCUAUGUGAACCUUACCGUCGUUGCCUCGGCGUGAGCUACGGCUACCCUGUAGUGCCUUGGAGCUACCCUGUAGUGCCUUGAGCUACCCUGUAGCCGACUUAUGGCCCGCCGAAGGACUGCUAAACUCUUGUUUUUUACUGCUGUUAUUCUGAAUUAUAAACUAAAAUAAGUUAAAAC
rnacentral:misc_RNA from 1 species